rnacentral:rRNA from 1 species
UAGGGAAUCUUCGGCAAUGGACGGAAGUCUGACCGAGCAACGCCGCGUGAGUGAAGAAGGUUUUCGGAUCGUAAAGCUCUGUUGUAAGAGAAGAACGAGUGUGAGAGUGGAAAGUUCACACUGUGACGGUAUCUUACCAGAAAGGGACGGCUAACUACGUGCCAGCAGCCGCGGUAAUACGUAGGUCCCGAGCGUUGUCCGGAUUUAUUGGGCGUAAAGCGAGCGCAGGCGGUUAGAUAAGUCUGAAGUUAAAGGCUGUGGCUUAACCAUAGUAGGCUUUGGAAACUGUUUAACUUGAGUGCAAGAGGGGAGAGUGGAAUUCCAUGUGUAGCGGUGAAAUGCGUAGAUAUAUGGAGGAACACCGGUGGCGAAAGCGGCUCUCUGGCUUGUAACUGACGCUGAGGCUCGAAAGCGUGGGGAGCAAACAGGAUUAGAUACCCUGGUAGUCCACGCUGUAAACGAUGAGUGCUAGGUGUUAGACUCUUUCCGGGGUUUAGUGCCGUAGCUAACGCAUUAAGCACUCCGCCUGGGGAGUACGACCGCAAGGUUG